rnacentral:rRNA from 1 species
AGCAGCCGCGGUAAUUCCAGCUCCAAUAGCGUAUAUUAAAGUUGUUGCAGUUAAAAAGCUCGUAGUUGAAUUUCGGGGUCAGUAGGUUGGUCGUGCCACUGGUAUGUACUGGCCUCACUGAUUCCUCCUUCUUGUAGAACCGUAAUGCCAUUAAUUUGGUGUUGCGAGGAAACAGGACUGUUACUUUGAAAAAAUUAGAGUGUUUAAAGCAGGCUAACGCUUGAAUACAUUAGCAUGGAAUAAUGAAAUAGGACGUUCGAUCCUAUUUUGUUGGUUUCUAGGAUUGACGUAAUGAUUAAUAGGGAUAGUUGGGGGCAUUAGUAUUCAAUUGUCAGAGGUGAAAUUCUUGGAUUUAUUGAAGACUAACUACUGCGAAAGCAUUUGCCAAGGAUGUUUUCAUUAAUCAAGAACGAAAGUUAGGGGAUCGAAGACGAUCAGAUACCGUCGUAGUCUUAACCAUAAACUAUGACCGACUAGGGAUCGGAUGAUGUUAAUUUUUUAAUGACUCAUUCGGCGCCUU